rnacentral:lncRNA from 1 species
AGAGUCAAGGGCGCUGGACUUGGAGUCAGGACGCCUAGAUUCAAAUUCCUGCCCCAUCGCUUGUUAGUGUAGGUACUUCACAACUUGGGGCCUCACAUGCUUCCCUGGAAACACGAGCAGGAUGUUCCCAUGCGCUUAGUGUGAGGCCUGGGUGUGAGGCUGUGUGUGAAAGUGCAGAUGGCAGAGCGCUAGAACGUGGAAGGUCUUACUGAGAAUGUCAGACCGCGGUACCCCUGCGAUUGCCCCCAAGAGCUGCCGCAGGGUUUAGAUGGUAGAAAAUCAGCAGGCUCAGUCUGUCUGUACCAUCCUCAAGCAGUGCUUCUUCUUAAGAUUUGGUUUAAUAAGUGUCACUAGUUUAAAAAAAGACGGUGAAGCUUUUGGCUAGCUGAUCCCCUAAGCCCUUCUACCGCUGACGGGCUCCACUGUUGGGAGAAAGCCACCCCUCAGAUUCUGUCUGCUUCCCUUGGGUCCCUUCCCUGGUUCCCCCACCCGCUUUCCUUUAGUCCUGAUCAAGCCCCCCAGUCCCACCAGCCUGUUGUCAAGCGUUGAACUGAGGGGCUGCAGUGUUUUGAGCGCUGGACUCUGGGCUGCCGGCCCAGGGUGUGAGCUGGGCAUCUGGGCUGGGCCUGGCAGGAGUGGGCCCCAGGAAACUUCUCCCUCCAGGGCCGGGGUGAGAGGGUCGCCUUUGGUCCUGUCUGCUUCCUCUCUCGCCGCCAGCGGGGAGGGGAUUGCCCGUCUGCCUCUCACAGGCCAUCGACGCAGGGCCCUGCCGCAGGCUCUCCCGGCUCCGGGGGUGGUUGCAGCUGACAGCACAUCACACGUCUGUGGUCAGCUCUGGAGAGAUGAAGCUGCCGCAGUGGCAGCUGUGCGUGCGCCUUAUGGGAAGAUGAGGCACAGCUCAAGUGAUGCUGGCCUUUGGUAUUUAAAAGCCAUCCAAAGGUCAAGCCAAGCUUUCUGGAUCCUCCUUGGCAUGUCAGUUCUGUGGGCCUCUCCCCCUUUCUUAGAGCACCCUUAGGCCAGGGAGGGUGGGGCCAGGCCCGGUCCCCUCCUAAAAAUGCUUCUGGGUUCCCAGCCAACUCUGAGCCAUUGCCCUUGGCUGUGUGUCCAAGUUCCCAGGUGGUUCUGCUUGCCGUGAAAUCUCCAUCACAUUCUCCGAGCCUGCGCUCGCCCACCUGUCUGUGGGAGAAAAAGGCUGGUCAGGAGAGGAGAGGGGAGAGAGGGGCUCUGAGACGGUAGCCUGGUCACGCAGAGCAGCGGGGCUCCCCCACCCCACUCGGAAACAGUCCCGCGUGGGAGGAGGGAACUUUCUAAGGAGGAGAGGUAGCAGUUGAGGCAGGAACGAAGGGCAGAGGGCAGACCUGGCUUCCGGGGAGCCCUGCAGGAAGCCUCCUAGAGGCGUGGUGGGGGCGGGAGGAGAACCAAAAAGCACAGUGUCCCCAGGGCCAAGGGACAGGGGCUUUCGAGGAGAGAGAGCCAAAUGCCCCCCAGAGGGCAGAGGGCAGCCGUUUGGGAGAGACCGGUUGGCAAGUCUGAGGCUGUGAGUACAGGUCAUCAAACGAAUCUGAGGCACCUUUCCAGACCAUGUAGGGCCUCAGCUGCCCCCCCCACCCCAGCACCCAGAUGGUUCGGGCCCCCGGGUUGUUCAAGGGCAGGCGGAGUAGAGAUGAACUCGGGCUGGGAGUGAGGCUGCGGGGAGCUGCCCUGAGGAGGGGCGCUGCUCUGGACCCAGCGGUGGAAGGGGCAGGGGGAUGGGAAGUGGCUGGUGUGGGGGUUGCUGGGCUGAGGCUGGCGAGUGGCCCGCAGGCCACGCUGGGCCGGGCUGGGGCGAUGGUGGCCCAAGGAGUCCGGCCCUCCGGCCCCGGGCUGCCUUUCUGCUUCCUCAGCCGUGUCUGCAUGUAGGAGCGUCUCAGCAGAGGCGUACUUUCCUAAAGGGCCUGGCUGGCGGCUGGUGUUUAGCGGGAGAUGGUCCAACGUGACCAUAAAUUCAAAGUAAUGCGCGGGGUGACAUGAGUAGGGAGCCGUGGGGAGGAAGAGAUAGAGCCCCGAGGAAAACGGCAGGAGGAAGGCAGCUCUGGGUAGAAAAGGGCAGUCGGCUCAGUUGAGAGUCACAGACCCCUGUGUGGGCAUGGGUGGUGUCUGGAAAAGCGGGUGGGGAGUACAGGCUACGGAAACAGCAUAGUCUGUUUGCCACGAACAGGUAGCGGGGAGCCAUGAAGGCGUGAAGAACGCGUGGGGAGGAAUUAGGAAGAUUUAGGCAGGUCUUGAGGGGGCCGAGGCAGUGGUCUUCUCACUUGAAGGGGUGUCUUUGGAAAAGGGGCCAGGCUCUCCCUACGGGCCUGAACCGCCACUGACCUCCCUCCCUUCGUGCUCACGUUUCCAUCUCAGUGACAGCACCACCUCUCCCAUCUCAGUGACAGCACCACCUCUCCCUUCUCAGUGACAGCACCACCUCUCCCAGGUGUUGAGGCUUUGAUCCUAGAGUCCACCUCAGUUCCUUCCUGCUUCAAGCCUCACACUUGGUCGCCCUGUCGUCCUGAAACCCCCCAGUUUGCUCCAUUUCCCCGCCACUCCUGUAGACCAGGCCUGCACCAUCUCUCCCCAGCUCUUGCAGCAUCUUCCCCUAGAUGUACGCUGGCCUCCUAACCGCUCUCCCAGCUGCCCCGGACCCCACAGUCCACUCUCCGUUCAGCAUCCAAAACGGCUUUUUUAGAUUCCAGAGCCGCUGGCACCUUAAAACACUUGUGCUGCUUCCCUCUGCUCUGCUCUCUCUCUUUUUUGUUUUUGGCUAUGCCUGGGGCAUAUAGAAAUUCCCCAGCCAGGGAUUGAACCCAUGCCACAGCAGUGACCCAAGCCACAGAAGUGACAACGCUGGCUCCUUACCCUGCUGAGCCGCUUGGGAGCUCUGCUCUGCUCUUUGAAAAAACCCAGAUUCCUUUCCAUGGGCCCCAGGGCUGUGCAGCCUGGCCCUGCCCUACCUCCUACUGCUCUUCCUUCUGUCCCUGACAUGUGGGCAGCACUGGGCUCCUUUCUGCCCCUCACACCUGACAAGCGCUUUCCCAGAACUGGCCACCACCCAUGCUGUCCCUCCGCUCGGCGUGUCCUUCCUGCCCCGCCUGCACUUGCCCCUUCUCACCCUUCCAGCUGCUGAUCGAGGCCUCCAAGGCCGUCCCUGUCUCAACAUCCUGCUUGCUUUCUCCAGAGAACUGAUGAUAAUCUGUAGUCCCCGCCUUUGCUCGUUCAUCCCUUUCCUUCUCUACGAGGUCGUGAGCCCCGCAGGAGCAGAUUGGACUGUCUCUCCUGGGUCCCCCACCCUCACCCCAGCCAGGUCCAGUGCCUGGCGUGGAUACAUCAGCGGGGAAGGGCUCUGAGGCGAGUGCUUAAAAAUAAUAAUAACAGCAACCGCACCAGCACCCUCACGGUGCUUGGUGCGUUAUCACCAUUCUAAGCUCUUUGCGUGUCAGGUAGAGGGGGGCCUCGCCCACUUUUCCUGUAAAGGAUCAGAUCAUGACUAAUUUAGGCUUUGGGAGGCCACGUGGUCUGGGGCACAACUGCUCAACUGCCCUGACCAUGCAGACAGCCAUGGAUCAUAUAUCCACGAGUGGACGUGGCUGGUUCGGAUAAAACUUUGGUUACCGGGGCAAGUGGUGGGCCAGCUGCCCCCUGAUGAAAAGUAUGAGCUUAUUUGCUCUUCAGAAAUUCUGUAGCAGCUCUGAUCUUAUCCCUGUCUUACAGACAAAGAAACUAGGAAGCAGAGGGACUAAGUCACUCGCCUGAGGUCGCGUGGCUCUUCAGGGACAGAACCCAAAUCGAGCCCGGGCAGGUCCCCUCAGAGUCCACAGUGGCAGCGGUUUCUUGGCAGCCACUCCUGGGGAGCAGGGAGGAACCACAGCUCCUCCUUAUCCCCCCCAGGGUUCCGGAGCCUCCUGCCUGCGGGGGCUCCCCAAGCUUCCUCCUUAGAAAAAUGGGGAUGAUGGUAAGAACGUGUACAUCACAGGGUUGCCCCCAGGACGGAAACGAGACCACGCAUUAAACUCAGCUGCAUCUGAGCCCGGGCCUGGCCUCCGGGAGUGUAAUCCCGACCCACAUCCAGCCCCAGCCAUCAGGUGCUUUUCAUGCCAUCCUCUCGCCCUCGGGCUGCCUCUUUCCGCUUGGUCCCAGGUUGUCUUCAUGGCCCUCCUUCCAAGAGCCCUUCUCCGCCGAGCCCGCGCACUCAUUCUGAGUGUCCCUUCUUCCAUCCCAAACAUGGGUGGGCGGCGUGCUCUGUGCUGGGCCUGGGCUGGACCCUCAAGCAGCUGGCUGGUCAACCCCGGACAGCAGUGGGCACGGCGAUGGGUCAGGAGCUGAAGCUGAGGGUUCGAGUCAAGCCUCUCAGAAAGGAAGCUCUCGUGCGGGAAGCCCAGCAGGCUUUCUUUGUCUGCUUUGAGUCCUGGGAGCAAGUGGCAGAGGUUUCCUGCAGCAUCACCUGCAGCCGCGUGCACUCUGGAGGGGGGGGUUCUGUGCACAAGAGGUAGUCCCCUUCAAGGCUCCCCUGAGUGAGCAGCCACAGCCCGGGCCCGGGGCAGGAGGCCUGCAGCCCCUGACCCCCCCACCCCCCCCCCCGACUCCACCAGCAGCGCUCUGCUGCCCUCCCGGGAAAAUGAGGAACCAGAGGUUUCCCAACAACUUGGAGAGAAAUCACACUUCUCUUCAAAGGAAUUAAAAUCAUGCCCACAUCAUUCUCCAUCCCAUGUCCAAGCAAACCCUCUUCUGUGAAAGCGUAAGGAAAAGAAAAGACACCCUCCUUCCGCCUCUGCGACACCAAAGCCAAACCAUCCUGUGGAUGGGAUGGGGCGGGGGGUGGAGGCUCUUGGGGGGCCGCCGGCUCCCCGUCAUGUUAGGCCCGAUGGAGAAUGGCCUCGUGAUGCCUGCCUUUCUCCCAGGCCUGCCUCCUGUCCAACCGGCAUGGUUCACGUUAAGGAAAAUAAACGCAGUCUGUCCCGGAGGCCACACCGUGGCUGUGUGGUUGUGUUAGGCUGUGGCGACAGCGGAGAGGAGGAGGCCGAGGGCUGGAGCAGAGCCUGGCCGUGGUUCUGAGGGGUUCACCUUCAGAGGAAGGCGCUUUCCGGGCUGUUGCCAACACGGGCUUUGGGACAACUUGAGGCCGUCUCAGUUCUCCCUGCACCGCGGGGAUAACGCGCCAGAUGAAGGGGCUUUUUUUCUUCCUCUUCUGCCACCAAUGCCUCCUCCUCCUCCUCCUCUUCUUCUUUUUUGUGUUGUUUAAAAUUUUCCUGCUAGUAGCCGUCCUUCCUGGAAGAGCAGCAUCUGAGAAUUCAAGGGCUGGGUGUGACUUUGAGACAGGGAACUGCCUGUCCUUCGCCGGGCGAGCAUCUGACCGCCUGAGCCGGGGCUGGUCUCUGUUAGCACCCUGCCCGGGACACAGAUGCCGGCGUUUUGCUUUAUACCUCGUCCUCACCACUCCCCACCAUCCUCCCUCCUGUAAUUAAGUGCAGGACCUGUGGUUGGGUCUCGGGCGGGUUUGGGAGAUACAGAUUUGCACUCGCUUCCUGUUGCUGGAUGCAGGUUGACUCCUUGAGCUCCUGGUGAGGCCGGAGCAGAGCUGAGAGCUGGGCAGUCUGCCUUCCGGCAGCCCAUCCUGUAACUGGCAGCUUCAUGGGCCGGCGUGGUACGGUCUGUCAGUGGUCCAUGGCUCCAGGACCACCCUGGGGCACCUGGCCAGCCUAGGUGCCUCCCUCCUAUCACCCGGGCCCUGUACGUAAGUCUCCCCUCCCUUACAAAGGGCCUUGGGGAUGCUGCAGGCCUCAGGCUGCUCGGGCACCAAGGCCCACUUCACAGGCCCCUGGACCCUGAGAACUGCUGUGUAACCCAUCACUAGCAGGGAUCUCAGACCUCGUCGAGGGGGAGGGUCACACAGGCUGAACGGGGUUACCUCGGGGGAAGCAGCCCCGAUUAAAUCCCAAAUGAGGAGGAAGAGGGCUGUGCUGGGGCGAGUGAGAGGGGGAAGGACCAGACACAGCGGACCCCAGCACUAGCUGCGAGGGGCUCAGCCACUGCCGACUCUCUGGGAGGCCCUGUCUCCCCAGAGCUUGCGUUCCUGACAUAGAUCUAAACCCAGCAUGUCAUAUGCCAUCACCGAAAUAACAACCAGAUUGCAUGCAAGAUCGAAAAAAUUCUUUUAGGAGUUCCUGUCGUGGCUCAGCAGUUAACGAACCUGGCUAGGAACCAUGAGGUUUGCGGGUUCAAUCCCUGGCCUCGAGCACAGUGGGUUAAAGAUCUGGCGUUGCUGUGGCUCUGGCCUAGGCCGGCAGCUACAGCUCUGAUUGGACCCCUGGCCUGGGAACCUCCGUGUGCUGCAGCUGCGGCCCUAAAAAGCAAAUAAAAAAAAAAAAAAAA